rnacentral:rRNA from 1 species
CCUACGGGAGGCUGCAGUGAGGAAUAUUGGUCAAUGGACGUAAGACUGAACCAGCCAAGCCGCGUGCAGGAAGACGGCUCUAUGGGUUGUAAACUGCUUUUAUGCGGGGAUAAACUCAGAUACGCGUGUCUUUCUGUAGGUAUCGUACGAAUAAGGAUCGGCUAACUCCGUGCCAGCAGCCGCGGUAAUACGGAGGGUUCAAGCGUUAUCCGGAUUUAUUGGGUUUAAAGGGUGCGUAGGCGGUAUGAUAAGUUAGAGGUGAAAUCCCGAGGCUCAACUUCGGAAUUGCGGCUGAAACUGGUCGGCUAGAGAGUAGUGGCGGUAGGCGGAAUGUAUGGUGUAGCGGUGAAAUGCUUAGAGAUCAUACAGAACACCGAUUGCGAAGGCAGCAUACGAAGCUACUUCUGACGUUGAGGCACGAAAGCGUGGGGAGCGAACAGGAUUAGAUACCCGUGUAGUC